rnacentral:rRNA from 1 species
GACGAACGCUGGCGGCAAGCUUAACACAUGCAAGUCGAACGCCGUAGCAAUACGGAGUGGCAGACGGGUGAGUAACGCGUGGGAACGUGCCUUUCGGUUCGGAACAACUGAGGGAAACUUCAGCUAAAACCGGAUACGCCCUUCGGGGGAAAGUUUACGCCGAAAGAUCGGCCCGCGUCAGAUUAGCUAGUUGGUGGGGUAACGGCCUACCAAGGCGACGAUCUGUAGCUGUUCUGAGAGGAAGAUCAGCCACACUGGGACUGAGACACGGCCCAGACUCCUACGGGAGGCAGCAGUGGGGAAUAUUGGACAAUGGGCGCAAGCCUGAUCCAGCUAUGCCGCGUGGAUGAAGAAGGCCUUCGGGUUGUAAAGUCCUUUCGGUGGUGAAGAUAAUGACGGUAACCACAGAAGAAGCCCCGGCUAAUUUCGUGCCAGCCGCCGCGGUAAUAC